GCUCACUUCUGCAGAGCAUAUACUAAAAUUGUAAUGAUACAGAGAAGAUAAGCAUGGUCCCUGUGCAAGGAUGACAUGAAAUUCACGAUGCAUUCCAUAUUUGG
rnacentral:snRNA from 1 species